UUAAGCGACUAAGCGUACACGGUGGAUGCCCUGGCAGUCAGAGGCGAUGAAGGACGUGCUAAUCUGCGAUAAGCGUCGGUGAGGUGAUAUGAACCGUUAUAACCGGCGAUUUCCGAAUGGGGAAACCCAGUGUGUUUCGACACACUAUCAUUAACUGAAUCCAUAGGUUAAUGAGGCGAACCGGGGGAACUGAAACAUCUAAGUACCCCGAGGAAAAGAAAUCAACCGAGAUUCCCCCAGUAGCGGCGAGCGAACGGGGAGGAGCCCAGAGCCUGAAUCAGUGUGUGUGUUAGUGGAAGCGUCUGGAAAGGCGUGCGAUACAGGGUGACAGCCCCGUACACAAAAAUGCACAUAUUGUGAGCUCGAUGAGUAGGGCGGGACACGUGGUAUCCUGUCUGAAUAUGGGGGGACCAUCCUCCAAGGCUAAAUACUCCUGACUGACCGAUAGUGAACCAGUACCGUGAGGGAAAGGCGAAAAGAACCCCGGCGAGGGGAGUGAAAAAGAACCUGAAACCGUGUACGUACAAGCAGUGGGAGCCUCUUAAUGGGGUGACUGCGUACCUUUUGUAUAAUGGGUCAGCGACUUAUAUUCUGUAGCAAGGUUAACCGAAUAGGGGAGCCGAAGGGAAACCGAGUCUUAACUGGGCGUUAAGUUGCAGGGUAUAGACCCGAAACCCGGUGAUCUAGCCAUGGGCAGGUUGAAGGUUGGGUAACACUAACUGGAGGACCGAACCGACUAAUGUUGAAAAAUUAGCGGAUGACUUGUGGCUGGGGGUGAAAGGCCAAUCAAACCGGGAGAUAGCUGGUUCUCCCCGAAAGCUAUUUAGGUAGCGCCUCGUGAAUUCAUCUCCGGGGGUAGAGCACUGUUUCGGCAAGGGGGUCAUCCCGACUUACCAACCCGAUGCAAACUGCGAAUACCGGAGAAUGUUAUCACGGGAGACACACGGCGGGUGCUAACGUCCGUCGUGAAGAGGGAAACAACCCAGACCGCCAGCUAAGGUCCCAAAGUCAUGGUUAAGUGGGAAACGAUGUGGGAAGGCCCAGACAGCCAGGAUGUUGGCUUAGAAGCAGCCAUCAUUUAAAGAAAGCGUAAUAGCUCACUGGUCGAGUCGGCCUGCGCGGAAGAUGUAACGGGGCUAAACCAUGCACCGAAGCUGCGGCAGCGACGCUUAUGCGUUGUUGGGUAGGGGAGCGUUCUGUAAGCCUGUGAAGGUGUGCUGUGAGGCAUGCUGGAGGUAUCAGAAGUGCGAAUGCUGACAUAAGUAACGAUAAAGCGGGUGAAAAGCCCGCUCGCCGGAAGACCAAGGGUUCCUGUCCAACGUUAAUCGGGGCAGGGUGAGUCGACCCCUAAGGCGAGGCCGAAAGGCGUAGUCGAUGGGAAACAGGUUAAUAUUCCUGUACUUGGUGUUACUGCGAAGGGGGGACGGAGAAGGCUAUGUUGGCCGGGCGACGGUUGUCCCGGUUUAAGCGUGUAGGCUGAUUUUCCAGGCAAAUCCGGAAAAUCAAGGCUGAGGCGUGAUGACGAGGCACUACGGUGCUGAAGCAACAAAUGCCCUGCUUCCAGGAAAAGCCUCUAAGCAUCAGGUAACAUCAAAUCGUACCCCAAACCGACACAGGUGGUCAGGUAGAGAAUACCAAGGCGCUUGAGAGAACUCGGGUGAAGGAACUAGGCAAAAUGGUGCCGUAACUUCGGGAGAAGGCACGCUGAUAUGUAGGUGAAGCGACUUGCUCGUGGAGCUGAAAUCAGUCGAAGAUACCAGCUGGCUGCAACUGUUUAUUAAAAACACAGCACUGUGCAAACACGAAAGUGGACGUAUACGGUGUGACGCCUGCCCGGUGCCGGAAGGUUAAUUGAUGGGGUUAGCGGCAACGCGAAGCUCUUGAUCGAAGCCCCGGUAAACGGCGGCCGUAACUAUAACGGUCCUAAGGUAGCGAAAUUCCUUGUCGGGUAAGUUCCGACCUGCACGAAUGGCGUAAUGAUGGCCAGGCUGUCUCCACCCGAGACUCAGUGAAAUUGAACUCGCUGUGAAGAUGCAGUGUACCCGCGGCAAGACGGAAAGACCCCGUGAACCUUUACUAUAGCUUGACACUGAACAUUGAGCCUUGAUGUGUAGGAUAGGUGGGAGGCUUUGAAGUGUGGACGCCAGUCUGCAUGGAGCCGACCUUGAAAUACCACCCUUUAAUGUUUGAUGUUCUAACGUGGGCCCGUAAUCCGGGUUGCGGACAGUGUCUGGUGGGUAGUUUGACUGGGGCGGUCUCCUCCUAAAGAGUAACGGAGGAGCACGAAGGUUGGCUAAUCCUGGUCGGACAUCAGGAGGUUAGUGCAAUGGCAUAAGCCAGCUUGACUGCGAGCGUGACGGCGCGAGCAGGUGCGAAAGCAGGUCAUAGUGAUCCGGUGGUUCUGAAUGGAAGGGCCAUCGCUCAACGGAUAAAAGGUACUCCGGGGAUAACAGGCUGAUACCGCCCAAGAGUUCAUAUCGACGGCGGUGUUUGGCACCUCGAUGUCGGCUCAUCACAUCCUGGGGCUGAAGUAGGUCCCAAGGGUAUGGCUGUUCGCCAUUUAAAGUGGUACGCGAGCUGGGUUUAGAACGUCGUGAGACAGUUCGGUCCCUAUCUGCCGUGGGCGCUGGAGAACUGAGGGGGGCUGCUCCUAGUACGAGAGGACCGGAGUGGACGCAUCACUGGUGUUCGGGUUGUCAUGCCAAUGGCACUGCCCGGUAGCUAAAUGCGGAAGAGAUAAGUGCUGAAAGCAUCUAAGCACGAAACUUGCCCCGAGAUGAGUUCUCCCUGACUCCUUGAGAGUCCUGAAGGAACGUUGAAGACGACGACGUUGAUAGGCCGGGUGUGUAAGCGCAGCGAUGCGUUGAGCUAACCGGUACUAAUGAACCGUGAGGCUUAACCUU
rnacentral:rRNA from 1 species